rnacentral:rRNA from 1 species
CGGGGUGAGUAACGCGUGGGUAACCUGCCUCAUACAGGGGGAGUAACAGUUAGAAAUGACUGCUAAUACCGCAUAAGCGCACGGGGAUGCAUAUUCUUGUGUGAAAAACUCCGGUGGUAUGAGAUGGACCCGCGUCUGAUUAGCUAGUUGGUGAGGUAACGGCUCACCAAGGCGACGAUCAGUAGCCGACCUGAGAGGGUGACCGGCCACAUUGGGACUGAGACACGGCCCAAACUCCUACGGAAGGCAGCAG